rnacentral:rRNA from 1 species
AGCAGCCGCGGUAAUUCCAGCUCCAAUAGCGUAUAUUAAAGUUGUUGCAGUUAAAAAGCUCGUAGUUGAAUUUCGGGGUCAAUAAGUUGGUCAUGCCAAUGGUAUGCACUGGCUUUAUUGAUUCCUACCUCUUGACGAACUGUGAUGCCAUUAAUUUGGUGUUGCAAGGAAUCAGGACUGUUACCUUGAAAAAAUUAGAGUGUUUAAAGCAAGCUUACGCUUGAAUACAUUAGCAUGGAAUAAUGAAAUAGGACGUUUGAUCCUAUUUUGUUGGUUUCUAGGAUCGACGUAAUGAUUAAUAGGGAUAGUUGGGGGCAUUAGUAUUCAAUUGUCAGAGGUGAAAUUCUUGGAUUUAUUGAAGACUAACUACUGCGAAAGCAUUUGCCAAGGAUGUUUUCAUUAAUCAAGAACGAAAGUUAGGGGAUCGAAGACGAUCAGAUACCGUCGUAGUCUUAACCAUAAACUAUGCCGAC